GCUUACGGCCAUAUCAGCCUGGGUACGCCCGAUCUCGUCUGAUCUCGGAAGCUAAGCAGUGUCGGGCCUGGUUAGUACUUGGAUGGGAGACCGCCUGGGAAUACCAGGUGCUGUAAGCA
rnacentral:rRNA from 1 species